rfam:Ictidomys tridecemlineatus contig017828, whole genome shotgun sequence.
GGGGUUGUGGUUCAGUGGUAGAGCACUUGCCUCACAUGUAUGAAGCACUGGGUUGGAUUCUCAGCACCACCA